rnacentral:rRNA from 1 species
UAGGCGUAAAUGAUGCGAGUUAAGUGUGGGGGCAUCUACGAGAUGGCCCUGUGCUGUAGGGUAGCCGUUAAACUCGCUGCCUGGGAGUACGGUCGCAAGGCUGAAACUUAAAGGAAUUGGCGGGGGAGCACCACAAGAGGUGGAGGCUGCGGUUCAAUUGGACUCAACGCCGGAAACUCAUCGGGAGCGACAGCAGUAUGAUUGCCAGGUUGAUGACCUUGCUUGACGAGCUGAGAGGAGGUGCAUGGCGUAGUCGUGU